UACAACGAUGUGGCCAGGUCCAUCGAGGU
rnacentral:sRNA from 1 species